rnacentral:rRNA from 1 species
GCCUUAGUAACGGCGAGUGAAGCGGCAACAGCUCAAAUUUGAAAGCUGGCCCUUUCAGGGUCCGCGUUGUAAUUUGUAGAGGAUGAUUCGGCGAGGGCUCCCGCCUAAGUCCCCUGGAACGGGGCGUCAUAGAGGGUGAGAAUCCCGUAUGCGGUGGGCUGCCUUAGCCAUGUGAAUCUCCUUCGACGAGUCGAGUUGUUUGGGAAUGCAGCUCUAAAUGGGAGGUAAAUUUCUUCUAAAGCUAAAUACCGGCCAGAGACCGAUAGCGCACAAGUAGAGUGAUCGAAAGAUGAAAAGCACUUUGGAAAGAGAGUUAAAAAGUACGUGAAAUUGUUGAAAGGGAAGCGCUUGCAACCAGACUUGUCCGCAGUUGCUCAGCCGGUCUCCUGACCGGCGUACUCUUCUGCGGCCAGGCCAGCAUCAGUUCGGGCGGUCGGAUAAAGACCUCGGGAAUGUGGCUCCUCUCGGGGAGUGUUAUAGCCCGGGGUGGAAUGCGGCCAGCCUGGACUGAGGAUCUCGCUUCGGCAAGGAUGCUGGCGUAAUGGUUGUAAGCGGCCCGUCUUGAAACACGGACCAAGGAGUCUAACAUCUAUGCGAGUGUUGGGGUGGAAA